rnacentral:rRNA from 1 species
GAUGAACGCUAGCGGCAGGCCUAACACAUGCAAGUCGAGGGGGAGGUUACUUUCGGGUAACUGAGACCGGCGUACGGGUGCGUAACGCGUAUACAAUCUGCCUUUCACUGGGGGAUAGCCCGAAGAAAUUUGGAUUAAUACCCCAUAGUAUAGUAAUACGGCAUCGUGAUGCUAUUAAAGCUUAGGUGGUGAAAGAUGAGUAUGCGUUCUAUUAGCUAGUUGGAGAGGUAACGGCUCCCCAAGGCGAUGAUAGAUAGGGGUUCUGAGAGGGAUGUCCCCCACACUGGUACUGAGAUACGGACCAGACUCCUACGGGAGGCAGCAGUGAGGAAUAUUGGACAAUGGUCGGAAGACUGAUCCAGCCAUGCCGCGUGCAGGAUGAAGGUCUUAUGGAUUGUAAACUGCUUUUGUAAGGGAAGAAUAAGGGCUACGCGUAGUUUGAUGACGGUACCUUACGAAUAGGCAUCGGCUAACUCCGUG